rnacentral:misc_RNA from 1 species
UUCGUAAUCAGUUUACUGUUUAGUUAUCGCUAUUCCAAAGACGAGAACUAUCUUUGUCGUUGUAUCGAUUCGUCAAGUUCUUUAUCCGGCAUUUCCUAUGCAAAUGAGAAAAUAAAAUUCGAAAAGAGGCCGUCAUCUUGAAGUUUACAUGCAGCCGGGUACCAUGAAUUGAUAUUCUCGUAAACUAAGAUCCACUCGGAUGAUCAUCGUGCCAUGGUGACAAAUUGGCGCGUGGAAAGUACACGACGCGCGAGUAAUGUUAUUCAAGCAGGGACGCGGUGACAGGCGGAAGGAGAAGUCGAUCAGAAUUGGAUGGGGAACUGCUGUUCGAUAAGAGAUGGCACUGUAACGUUCAAAUAUUGGUAGCGAAAGUUUAUCGAAUAAAUCGGUUACGUUGUCGAAAAGCUGCCAAAUUGGAAACCAAUAAUAUAAAAUUCGUUGCAAUUCUUGUACCUAAUAUAUUCGAUAUUGCGGAUAGAACAAUUUUCUAUUUCAUAUGCCGUGAUAAACAAAGGUAUUUGAACGCGUGCCAAUAAAUAUGCCUUGUAAUAUAUAUUUCAUAACGUGUACGUACAUUUUCUAAUCGUUUUCAACUUGAUCGUUGCAACGAUGAUAUUUGCGACUCGUUGCUAAAUCCAAAUUUGUUUCAUUCGAUAAAUAUUUACAGAUAUCGC